GUCAGCGCUGCCAGGCCUGACUUCCAGAAACAUCAGGGGAUCCCUUCAAUCUUCCCUCAUUCAGCUAUCUGCUGUUCUUCAUCUGAAAGUUUGUGGGGUCAAAGUUUAUAAGGUAAUAAAAAAUGAGCAAUAGAUGGAAGAGGAAAAGGAAAAUGAAGAGGGUGAAGAUAAUUUGGAAGGGAUAUAAUAAGAAGGAAGAGGAGAAAAUUGCCUUGGUAAUAAAAAAUGACCAAUAAAUGGAAGAAGGAGAAGGAUGAUGAAGAAGGUGAAAAUAAUUAGGUUAAAAAACAAAGAUAAAUAAGGUGGAGAAUCUUCAGUAUUUCAUCAUGAGCCACACUUUUGAUUGGAUAUGGGGACUGCAGUGACUUUUAACAAUUAACUCCUGAUUAUUCUUCUCCUUUCGUAUUCAAUCAGAAGUAAAAGUACU